AAGACUUCGAGGUCUUGCCUUCCAAGCUACUUCAAUGGUGUCAUGUCUUCAAGAAAAGUUCCAAGUGUUUUCCUCCUCCUUUACUUGCAUCAUAAGCUUGGCUACCUCCAAGUAGAGCUUUGUUUUAAGGACAUCUUGCCGGUCCAUUGAUUCUUCAUUCACUCAAGGGGGCUUCUUGAGACAACUAACUCCCUUGUUUACCUUCCUUGAACUUCCAAGGCAAGCUCCCAUGUCAACAAGUGCUCCCUUGAGCAAUCCUCCAAUUUGUUUCUUCUUCUUGAUGGGGGUGAGGAGUGACUCAAAGCCUUGUGAACAUCGUAAGACCGGAAGAGGUGACCAAACUUCUUUCUUAUUUUUCUCAUCUCCCCUUACUCUUGCCUCUCCAUAGUAACCCAAAAAGUAGCAUUCAUUCAUGUCAUCCAGAAUUUGAAGGGGAGGAAAGAUUUGGAACUUGAUUUUGUCUCUAAGUACCUUCAUGCUCAUGGUGCCUUUCUUCACAUUAAUCUUGACACCAGCAGUGGCCAUGAAAGCUCUUCUAAAGAUGAUAGGAAGCUCAUUGUCAACCAUGGGGGCUUCCUCCAUGUCUAGGACUAUAAAAUCCACUGGUAUAACAAACCUUGCAACAUUGACAAGCAUAUUCUCCAAGAUUCCUCUAGGAUACCUCACGCUUCUAUCCGCCAACCGGAGAGUGAUUGAAGUUGGUUUCAAAGCUCCUUCAAGACCAAGCUUCUUUAAAGCCGAAUAGGGCAUUAAAUUGAUACUUGCCCCAAGAUCCAUCAAGCAAUUGUCAAAAGUAGUUUCUCCAAUCUUGCUUGGAAUAGUGAAGCUUCCCGGAUCUUUGAGCUUUGGUGGAAGCUUUCUUUGAAUGAUAGCACUCACUUCUUCACAAAGAGCCACUUGCCCAUGUUCUUUGAACUUUUUCUUCUUCAUGCACAUAUCCUUCAAGAACUUAGCAUAAGAUGGGAUUGUCUUCACGGCUUCAAGGAGUGAAAUGUUUAUAUGAACCUUCUUGAACAAAUCAAUCACCUCCCUCAAUUGGCUCUCUUUCUUGAGUUUUUUCUCUUGUUGCCAUACAGCUUGAGGGUAAGGGAGAGACACUUCUUCUUGUUGCACAAUCUUCAAAGGAGGAUUAAAAGUGAUACCUCUUUGGAAUGGUCUAUCGAUUGGAUGAUCAUUGGACACUUCUUUUUCAUGGUUGGCCUUGGAAUUUCAGUUGUUUUUCAUGACCUCAUCUUGUCCUUCAUUAUAAUCCAACACAAUUUUCUCAUGCUUUAAUCUCCUUUCAAAACCCGGUGGCUCUCUUGGAGUUACAACUUCUUCAUUAGUGGGCAUGUACACAUUGUUCUCAACUUGCCUUCCACUUCUCAAAAUGGUGAUGGCCUUGGCUUCAUGCCUUGGAUUGUUGACCACUUGACUUGGAAACACUCCUUGCUUCCUUUGGCUCAACUCACGGGCUAGUUGCCCUAUUUGUACCUCAUGCUUGCUCACACUCUGUUGGAUGACGUUGAUCUUCUCAUCUUGUUUUGUUUGAUUGUUCACAAAGGCGGCCAUCAUUUCUUCAAAGAUCGAUGAAGAACACACCCAAAAUACCAAAACCCCAAAUCCGACUGUGAAUGGCGAAUCUGGAACUCAUGAACACUCGCACUCAAACUCAACCCCAAAAGUCAACAAUGCAAGGUUCUCCAUCUCUCAUGUCGUCAUCUCCACCUAUCUCUGCUUUCUUGCUCGCACUCACUCAAUAAGUUUGGGUCUUCUUUAUCGCUCGCACUCGCUCGCAAGGUUGAAUUGUUCUGGUGAUGCCGAUUGAAAUUACUCAUGAAUGUGUAUUUGAGGUAUUGUAACAUUUUUAGAUCCCCCCAUUUAAGAUGUUCAGAAUGUGGAUAUCGAUGGUUGGAUUUCUUUGGAUGAAUACUUUCACAUUGCUCUUGGAGUCUUGGUACAGUUUGAAACAGUUUUCACUAUAUUUUUUCCCUCAUAAUGUUAUAUUAGCUAUUUUGUUGACUGCAUUCCUAUCACACUUCAUUAUCUCCCUAAUUUUGGAUUUACUCUCAGAACUUUAUUACACUAAGUUCGAAGAUUAACUUAUUUGAAAAGUGGGACUCUGAUUGUUGAUGCUGGUGUGUGAGCAUUUGUGUGAUUAUUUCAGAUAUGAAAGUUAUACAUGAUUUGAGUUGCUAGCUUAAAUUUAUUGUGCAGAUAGCCAGAUAGUAGUAAUAAGAACAAAAAAUAGAAGAAAGAACACAGAAACAAAAACAAAAUUGAUCACCUCUAUAGUUCUAGGGGACCUUCAAAGUGAAAGCCAGUCACUUUAGUGCAUGAGAAAGUACCUUAAAAGAAUAAACUAAUAACAUUCUCGAAAAGUAUCAAGUAUGUAGUGAGUUGAAGCUCCAUUGUUACUGAAACUUAAUACUUCCAGGCCCAUUAUCUUUUUCAUUCAUAUCCUAAUCCCAUAAAGACGUCUUGCACUCAAUAUAUGGUGUAGCAUGUUAACAGAUAUUUUACUAAUAGUACUGAUGCAUUUUUAGAAUGAAAAUGUUGUCUAACUGUAUUCACUAUCUCUGCAGCAAACGCUCUAGCUACCUAAGUAAUGUUACAGAUAGAUUCCUUCAACUUCUUUGAAGAAAUUUACUCAGCUUUCACUUGAUUGUUGUCUCUUUGAUAUAGAAAUGUUCUGAGAGAUCACUUGAUAAUCAUGCCUACUACUCUACUAGUGCAUUCUUUGCAGUUGGAUCAUUAUUUUUCCAUGUGGUUCCUGUAAAAUUAAUCCUCUCAAGUUGGAGCUUGCUAUAUAUUCUAGUAUGCAGGUAUAUUAAUUAACCUCAAUCUGCAAUUGUUAUGUGGAGUAUACGUUGUAUUGGAUUUUUAACUUUUUUGGAGUGUGCCUCUGUAUCCAUACUCUGAAAUCAAGUCACUUCUAGUGUAGGAUACUUCUUGAAACUAGUUCAAAAUGGUUGAUAGCAACGCAUCAUCUGCAAAGGUACAUAGCUGACUCAACUGUUCUGCCAUCUUAGAAGAUCGUAUUGAAUCCAAAAGUAGUACCAUAAAGCAUUUUAUGCACCUGUUCUGUUUGAGAAUUAAAGAAUAAAAGAGUGACUCUCCAACACAAAUAUGGUUAGUUCUGUAAUUGGUUUAAUUAUAAUUGGAUAUUGGAUAAAAUUUCAAUGAUGUCCUAGUCUUAUUUACAUAUACAUUGAGUAAUGCUUAUUUACUGUCCACUAUGUGCAAUUUCUUUUGCAAGUGAACUGGGAGUUUUGUUCCUAUCUUUUACUUUAUGGCAUAUAGGGGGUUUGAGAUCAUAUAGGCUGAAUUUAAUGGCAUGUAAAUAUAUCUGAUCACAGCUAGUUAUUGAGUGAGGCUAUACGUAUAUUAUUAUGUAAAUCUAUGCAAUUGGAGGCUAUGCAAUUGGAGUAGGGAUAAAACGGUAGAAGGAUACUUCUUUUAACUUUAAUGGUCCGGUCACUGGUCUUAUUAUUAUUACAAUAGUAAAGCUUUGGAUGUCAAUGAGCAAUUUCCUGUUAAGUGAUAUAGGGAAGCCUGUUACUCGUUUUCUUCAUCUCUAUCUCUCAUAUCAUAUUAGGUUGUCAUUGGAAAUCUGUUAGCUUAAACUGCUCUAUUGUUUGAUUUCAGAUUAAUUGUUUCCCUUAUAUCUAGGCCAUGACUCUUGGAUUUUGUUCCAAAUUUGUUUCAGAGCCAUGCGUUUAGAAGUUUGUACUGUUUUAUGUUUGAUCAUGUGGAAGUGGGGAAAUCCCCAAAUUGGCGGGCUGCAUAUUUGGUUAAAAUAGGGUCUGCCUUUCUUGUUUUCAUGGGAUUGAUAGUGUCUAGACACGCCAUUAAGAAGGUAAUAGGAAAAAGAAAAAGCCUGUUGUCAAACUUGGAUCCAAUAAGCAUAGCUCAAUUUUCAGUUUCUUUGAAAGUAAAAAGUACCUUUUUGUAUUAUUUUGAUUCAUAUUACGGCACAACCUGUGGAAACUACUACAUAAAGAUUUGCAACCAGUUCCUUAUCCUUUAUCAAUCUGCUCCAAGUUUUGAUUUAGUCAUUAGUUGCAUGCAACAUGGUCUUGUCUGUGCAUAAGUUUGAGAGAAUCUUUCAAUUGGACAUAAUAGAUUGAUAAAAUGAUACCCCUCUCUCUAUGCCUCCCUCCCUCCCUCACUGUUGAUAUUCAGGUGUGAAAAGGAAACUGUUCUAUUCCCUAUACUCACUACUGGUAAUUCCUUUCAUUUCCAAUAAGGAUGGUUGUCCAUAUAUGGUAGUUGCAUACAUAUUUGAGUGGAAGGAAGAACCUGAUCUGUUUAUGUUUCUUAUGCAGUUCCCAUCCUUGGAGAAUGUCCUAAGACAUACUGGGGAACGAUAGUAAAUAAUAGGAACUCUCUUAACCUUAUGUCCAUAUGAGGUACAAAUUAAGCUUGAAUAUGUGACUCAAAUAUCAUCAACAGAGAAGAUUUUCAGGUUGCAGAGGUUGCCUGUGCUUUCAUUUUGUGUUGGGACAAAGAGGUAUAU